GAGAAGUAGACGUGGUUUCUACAGAAGCGAGAAACAGACCGCAAGGAUUUUACCCUUUUAUUGUCUUCAAACGAAAAUAGAGACACAGAAUGAAAAAGGAAACCCUUUAUCUCGGAAAGCUUGAGCAAAUCAGUGAUCUGAAAUUUGGCUUGUGGUGAGAUGGAGACAGCAGAUUUCCAGAUGAAUGCUGGGAGGAACACGCCAUCAUGCAGAUUCUGGCUAUGAUGAUGAUGAUGAUGAUGAUUUUGAUGACAUCAUCACAUUCAGCUCUUGCAGAUCAAAGUUUAACGUGUCAUAAUGAUUACCACAACACCUUCACAUGUGUUUGGGACACCUCAAAACUGGACGUGAUCCCUCCGGUCCAACCCGAGACCGUCUGCUGGAUUCAUGUAACGGUUACGAAGCUGUAAGGAAAAAUGUGACUUCAUAACGUAUUUGGCUUGUGCAUUUACAUUUACAUUUAGUCAUUUAGCAGACGCUUUUAUCCAAAGCGACUUACAAUUGGGGGAUACAUAAAGCGAUUCUUCUUAAGAGGCAAACAGACACAGGAAGUGGUUGUAAUACCAAGUUCUUAGACAUUGUUCAAAUAAGUACAAGCUAGAAAGAGAAGGAAUAAAUAAAGAGAGAGAGUUUUUGUGGCUUGUGAUUAAAUCAGCCUUCAUAUUGUACAGGA
rnacentral:lncRNA from 1 species